rnacentral:tRNA from 1 species
GGGAGCGGCAGUGUCCCUGGUGGGCGCCUCGGCCUUCAAAGCCGCUGCGGGUUCGAAAGGGCCCGGCUGGGUUCGAUUCCCAGACGCUCCCG